rnacentral:rRNA from 1 species
GACGAACGCUGGCGGCGUGCUUAACACAUGCAAGUCGAGCGGUAAGGCCCUUUCGGGGGUACACGAGCGGCGAACGGGUGAGUAACACGUGGGUGACCUGCCCUCAGCUCUGGGAUAAGCCUGGGAAACCGGGUCUAAUACCGGAUAUGACUCCAUGACGCAUGUUGUGGGGUGGAAAGCCUUGUGCGGCUGAGGAUGGGCCCGCGGCCUAUCAGCUUGUUGGUGGGUGAUGGCCUACCAAGGCGACGACGGGUAGCCGGCCUGAGAGGGCGACCGGCCACACUGGGACUGAGACACGGCCCAGACUCCUACGGGAGGCAGCAGUGGGGAAUCUUGCGCAAUGGGCGAAAGCCUGACGCAGCGACGCCGCGUGAGGGAUGACGGCCUCGGU